rnacentral:rRNA from 1 species
CCUACGGGAGGCAGCAGUAGGGAAUUUUCCACAAUGGGCGAAAGCCUGAUGGAGCAACGCCGCGUGGGUGAAGAAGGUCUUCGGAUCGUAAAACCCUGUUGUUAGAGAAGAAAGUGCGUGAGAGUAACUGUUCACGUUUCGACGGUAUCUAACCCGACAGCCACGGCUAACUACGUGCCAGCAGCCGCGGUAAUACGUAGGUGGCAAGCGUUAUCCGGAUUUAUUGGGCGUAAAGGGAACGCAGGCGGUCUUUUAAGGCUGAUGUGAAAGCCUUCGGCUUAACCGGAGUAGUGCAUUGGAAACUGGGAGACGUGAGUGCAGAAGAGGAGAGUGGAACUCCAUGUGUAGCGGUGAAAUGCGUAGAUAUAUGGAAGAACACCAGUGGCGAAAGCGGCUCUCUGGUCUGUAACUGACGCUGAGGUUCGAAAGCGUGGGUAGCAAACAGGAUUAGAUACCCCUGUAGUC